CGUAGGUGGCAAGCGUUGUCCGGAAUUAUUGGGCGUAAAGGAUGCGUAGGCGGUUUUUUAAGUGGGAUGUGAAAUACCUAGGCUUAACUUAGGAAUGGCAUUCCAAACUGGAAGACUAGAGUGCAGGAGAGGAAAGUGGAAUUCCCAGUGUAGCGGUGAAAUGCGUAGAGAUUGGGAGGAACACCAGUGGCGAAGGCGACUUUCUGGACUGUAACUGACGCUGAGGCAUGAAAGCGUGGGGAGCAAACAGGAUUAGAUACCCUGGUAGUCCACGCUGUAAACGAUGAGUACUAGGUGUGGGGGGCGAAGCCCUCUGUGCCGCAGUUAACACAAUAAGUACUCCGCCUGGGAAGUACGAUCGCAAGAUUA
rnacentral:rRNA from 1 species